GACGAACGCUGGCGGCGUGCCUAAUACAUGCAAGUCGAACGCAGUGGGGACGGGUGAGUAACACGUGGGUAACCUCCCAUCAGAGGGGAUAACACUUGGAAACAGGUGCUAAACCGAUACUGAUGGAUGGACCCGCGGUGCAUUAGCUAGUUGGUGAGGUAACGGCUCACCAAGGCCACGAUGCAUAGCCCGCCUGAGAGGGGGAUCGGCCCAACGGGGACUGAGUCACGGCCCAGCCGCCCAAGGGAGGCAGCAGUAGGGAAUUUUCGGUAAUGGACGAAAGUCUGAACGAGCAAAGCCGCGGGAGGGAAGAAGGUUUUCGGAUCGUAAAACUCUGUUGUUAGAGAAGCGGUAUCUAACCAAAAAGCCACGGCUAACUACCUGCCCACCGCCGCGGUAAUAC
rnacentral:rRNA from 1 species